UCAAGAGGUGGUAGAGUCAGGUCUGGCAGUGGAUUGAAGGUGCAACAAACACUGUCACAGAGCAUUGCAGGUGUUGGUGCGCUGAGUCAAACAAUAACUCAGACUUUCACAAUUCCAAAACCCAAAGGAAAAGAAAAGGUUACAGUUCCUGCUGCUGCUACUCAAUAAUGAUUGUGCUUGGUUCUUGUUUAUUUUCCUUUAUGUUUUAAAAACUACUACUGCAUCUGUUUGCAGCAGUUUGUUAUAUGUAUUUUGGAUAAUUCUGCCAUUUCCAGAGGUGUUUCUUUUACACUGGAUUUUGCUGCAUUCAACACAGCAUCAGACAACCAUUGAAAAUCAAGACAGUUUGAGCAUUUAAGUUAUUCUUCUUGCAGGUUUGGUUCUUCCAUGGACAGUUGUUGUGCAUAUGGCUCUUGUCACCACAAGCAAAGCAGGAACGUGGAGUUGGGAGUUGAACUUUCAUUGCCCUUUUUUUGUUUAUGGCAUCUGCAAACCACUCAAAGUAUGGGCAGACUGAGCAUCUCAAGAACUUCUCAGCAACAUGAUCUUCAGUUUGAGCUUUCAACAACUUUCUCACUCCAUUGCAAGGUAUAUAAAGAAAACUGAAAAUCAGACCGUUAGGAACGGUCUAAUUUUCUGGCCACUAUUUUGCUGCCACGUCAUCGAUCUGCCACGUCACUGAUUUGUUGUGUCACCGAUCUACCACGUCAUAGACAGGGUAACCCAAGUUAUAUUAGUUGAGUUAGGUUUGAGGGCAUUUUGGGGAUAUUUAACACCUUUUUUUGAAAAACUGUUAUGUCGCCCAUAGUAUGGUCAAUUUGUAGACGAUUAGCAAAAG